CAACUAAUCCCUCUGUCCCAAAUUUCUUGUCUUAGAUUUGUCUAGAUACGGUUGUAUCUAAUACUAAAAUGUGACUUGAUACAUCCGUAUCUAGACAAAUCUAAGACAAGAAUUUUGGGAUGGAGGGAGUACUUU
rnacentral:pre_miRNA from 1 species